GUCUCCUCUGCCUCGGGGUCCCUUGUGGGCUCGGCGGGUGCCGGGGGGUUCCCCGAAGGCCCAGAGGUGUUCCCUGGGGAUCCUGGGGUGGGUUAGAAGGGGGUGGUCAGUAGGUCAGAGAGGUUCUCCUGCCCCUCUGCUCUGCCCUGGGGAGACCACACCUGGAAUAUUGUGUCCAGUUGUGGCCCCUCAGUUCCAGCAGGACAGGGAACUGCUGGAGAGAGUCCAGCGCAGCCACCAAGAUGCUGAAGGGAGUGGAGCAUCUCCCGUGUGAGGAAAGGCUGAGGGAGCUGGGGCUCUGGAGCUGGACAAGAGGAGACUGAGGGGGGACUCAUUCCUGGGGAUCAAUAUGGAAAGGAGGAGUGUCAGGAGGGUGGAGCCAGGCUCUUCUGGUGACAACCAGUGACAGGACAAGGGGCAAUGGGUGCAAACUGGAACACAGGAGGUUCCACUUAAACAUGAGAAGAAACUUGUUCCCGGUGAGGGUGCCAGAGCCUGGCCCAGGCUGCCCAGGGGGUUGUGGAGUCUCCUUCUCUGAGACAUUCCAACCCCCUGGACCCACCUGUGUGAUCUGCUCUGUGACCCUGCGUGAGCAGGGCUGGGGAUCUCCAGAGGUCCCUGCAGCACAACCGCGCUGUGAAAGGAUGAGUGGGUGGGAGCAGCUGGUUGUGCUGCAGAUUUGGGGUUUCUCUGAGGAGUCCCUGAGCCCAGAGAUGAGCCCUGGGCUGAGGUCUUAAUGUAGGUACCAAAUUAGUAUUGGGGAGCACUGAAGUAUAUCUGAGCCUGUGAUUACCUGGUAAACAUAAUAAAUGGUGUCUUUUCCUGACCCAGAAUAGCCUGCAACAGGGGAACAUUUGGUUGCACUGCAAUUGGGUUAGACAAAAAACUGCAUAUUGCAAAGUACUUUUCUUAUGGCAAAAAGGCAAUUUCAGGUGUGUUCAGAAACUCAGUUAAUCUUCCUGGAAUUGGCGAUGUGAUUAAUUAUAUUUGGGAAACGAGUAUAAACGUGAAGCAUUCGUGAAUGGAAAUGUGUGAAAACUGCAUUGAGGGGUGGUUACGGUUUGCGUUGUGCAGGAACCUGCAUCCACGUCUCGAUGCUGUGACUGAUGGUGCUCGUGGGGACCUUCCUCACCUUAUACCUGCUGAACGUCUGUUUGUUUCCACGGUGUUGCAACAGGAGAUGGCAGAGUUCCCAGCGAGAGCGUGGCGUGCCCGUGUGAGAAAGAGAUAUGCUUUAUAUUCUCCUUACCCUGUUGGUUUCCUUCAGAAGUACGAGUAUUGCUGCCCCAAGCUCAUUCCAGCUGAGCGCUUGCCUUCUCCUCGUGGCUCGGCUCUGUGAUCUGACAACGCGGCGACGUUGAUUAUCAGGGUUCUUCCUGAUCCUGACGAUGUGCUCCUCUGACACAGGCUUGUCGCAGCCACGCUCAGCGCAGCGGUGACGCUCCUGGCAUUAACGGGGAAUGUGAGAUGUUAGAGCCCACUCGCCCAGCACAGCAUCUGCUCACACUGACCAAUUAAAUGGGCUUCUCUCUCAUUAAAACCCUUAUGUGGACUCUGACAUCUCCUCUGGGCCAUAUUCUGGGACCUGAGCUGACUUGAACUGCUGAAUCCGUAGGGAGAAUUUCAACACAGCUCGAAGCGCUUGGACAUUGGAGCUGUGUGAAAAGGAAGAGAAAUUGAAGCCCUCCCCCCUUCCCUUUGGUAAGCCAGGAGCACAUCCCUUACAGAUUCACUUGGUUGUGCCAAUUUAAUGUGAUUUCUUCUGAGGGCCAGGAACCACUCAAGGAAGGCUGACAGGUUUUAUCAACAGAAUGGAAACUGAAGUGAUAAGGUGAGAGUUAUUGACCUGAUAACUAACAAACAGAAAACUUCAGUGUCCCUCAAGCUAAAUAUUGCACUCAGCAGGUACGUAAAAGAUGGCAACAGCUGUGGUCUUGUCACUGACUGAGAGGGUGUUUUAGUGGAGAGGAGCAGGAGGUGAACUGUGAAAACAAACACAUCAGUUUGCUACACACUAUUUCCCUCUAUUACUUUUAAUGAGAGCUAAACUCCAAAAUGCACAAUGGGACAAUAAUAUUUGAGAUAGAAGGAACUCUUCGUACAGCUCCUAAAUUCUAGACACCCGCUUGCAAUUAAAAUGAUUGCUUGCAUAUUAUUAAUAGCUCACCAGUAGUCUGAGGCUGUUAUCAGCUAUGGGACCAGUUGGAAUUUGCCGCUACACAACCGAAUGGAAAGUAAUGCUGUCGUUGAAGGAACUGAGUUAACAACCUGAACCCACAGCGCUCAAAGGAGUUUGAAACAGGAGAGAAAUGGAAAAAGGUGAGAGGAGCUGUGUUAAAAUGCAGCGCUGUAGAGGCUGGUGAGCAACAUGGCUGGAUUUCCAUAGUCGGGUGGUAGCAAAUGCUGCCUAAGUGGUUUUUUAUUUAUUUUAAUUCUGAAAUUGUAGCACGGGGAGGGCAGAUGGGAAAGCAAGUGGAGACCCCUAAUGAAUUAUGAUUAGAAGUAAUGGAAACAAAAUGUUCUGCAAGUACAGCGGUCCUUUGUUCCUCCUUUUUCCCUUUAUAUUUUUGCCUGAAAACAUACUGGGAUUGUGCAUGAAACCCAGCUGUCACAAUGCUCACACAUCCCUUGAAAUUCUCAUCUGACAGAGUACGAAGGCUUCAGCAGCUGAACAAAAAGGCAGGAGCCAGAGCUCUUGUCCGACAUCCGUCCCCCCUUCCUGGCACCCGGCCUGCUCGGAGCAAUCGGGAAAGGCAAAUGGCAAGUGAUCGCUUCCUAUUCAACUUCUGCAAGCUUUGUUUUUCAGAGGGAAGCAGUUUUGCACUUCGUACCGUGUUUGUCAUUCUGCCAUGUGUCUUUUCUUUUACCUGUUACACUUUUAGUUUCUUCUUUAUUUUUCUUUUUGGGUUUUGAGGUGAAGGUACCAGAGCUGCACUUGCUAUUCCAGAAGCAGAUAUACCAUGAAUUCAUACAGUGGCAAAAUCAUACUUUUCUCUCCUAAGAAUUCUGAGCUUCUGCUUUUCUUUUUUUUUGACUGCUAUUGAGCAAUGAGGUGGCAUAUUCAUAGAACUAGCUAUUAAAACGUCAAGAUGCAUUUCCUAAAUGACGCAAACCAUUUCAGAGCCCAUCACUCUGCGUGUAAAGCAAGCGCUGCUUUUUGUGGGGAGCCAGAUUAUAGCUGUCAGGGCUGAAACUUAUCUUCUGCUUUAUCGUGAGCCUGCUGAGUGUCAUGAGAUCUGAGACUUUUUGUAGUAAAUAUUAUCCUAAUUAAUUUAAUUUUUGUUGGAAGUCUUCGCUCUUCCACCUGCUUUCCAGAUCACUUCCAAACACACUGAACACCAUGGACCUUAAUCCCCGUGGGACUCCACUGAUGAUCAUCCUCCCUUGUGAAAAUCCAUCCUUUAGUCUUGUCUUUUUUUGCCAAUAUUAAACUAUUAUUUAACUCUUUGAGGUUCUUACCUGUAGUUUCUGGCUGUUAGGUUUAUUUAAGAGCCUUUGAUGAGACCUUCAGAGCUUGAGGUUUCUGCAAGCUUGGGGGGAGUUGGAAAUACAGGGAAAAUUUCUCAGCUGGAUCUGUGUUAUUUACAUGCUUUUGACUCCUUCAAAGAAGUACAGCAGAUUUAGGAGGCUCAGAUUCCUUUUACAAGUCGUGUUUACUUUUCCUUAAUGUGUUACUUUUAUUCAUGUAUUCGCUAAUUCUGGUCUUCACUAGAGCUUCAGCCAAUAUGCGCAUUAGAAUUAGUGAUUUGUGGUUCCUUGAGUUGCCACUGGAUUUAGUUUUUAAAAAACUGUUUUCUUAUUAGUUACCCUCCAGUCCUUUGAUAAUCACAGCAAUUUUCAGCAAAAGGUUACAUGCUAAGGGUAUUAGCUCAGCUGAUUCAUAUUUAAAAUUCUGUAAAAAUCUUGUAUGAAUAUCAUCUGCGCGCAGUGAGACGUCGUUAUGCAUUUUGUCUGGUUUGUAAUCUACACUUAACAACCUUAAAUGAAGACAAGCCUUCCUAUGAAUGCCUUAUAAACAAGGUGCUGGUUUCAGAGUUUCCCUGAGAUUCUCCAGGUGAACAGAGAUAUUAAAAAACAAGAGUAUGGGAUAUUUUGUGAUGGCAUCAUCUUUUCUGAGUGCUUCUUUCAUACCUGUACAGCUCAAGAUGUGUUCAAGAAGGAUUUAUUACUUUUUUUUUUUUAUUUCUUUAGCAAACUGCUUCUAAACUCUUUCUUCGGUCUGCGUUAUUGUGCUUUUACAUUUAGACUGCCAGAAUUUAUGUUCUUUUUAGUUUUCCUUUUUCAGACACAACUUCAGCUUUUUGCAGGAUACCUUUUAACUUCCAACAGCCUCGCCGAUCCUGCUGUUUUAUGAUGCCAGCUUUUUGUUUUUCCUCUCGAGUCUUUUUUGACAGGUUAUAUGCAUUUGCUUUGAGCCUCCAAUAUAGGAUCCUAAAAUAGUCUACCUGCCAUCUGAAAACAUUUUACCUCUUUGGCUGCCACUUUGAGCAUUUUUUUAAACAAAUCUCGUCAUUGUUGACUCCCCCGUCUCUGGAAUCAAGCACAACUGCUGCAUUUGCCAACGUUUCUUUAUUUCAGAGUGUGCGAUCAUGAGUUAGAUAAAAGUAUUAAGUGUUUUGGCCUAGCCCAGUCUCUAGGAAGGCGAGACAUACCAGCCAUUAACUUCACUAAUGUUAAUGUCACUAAUUUCAUUAAGUGAGAAACAAGGAAGGAAGUGGUUUGCCAGGGCUAGAGAUGGGAAUUGCUGCCCCGGAACAUCAGCUUCUCUAUCCACCUUCCAAGAGAUAAAAUGACAGGUAAUUGGGGGAAAAAAAAGGCAAUUUGGGCUGAUGUGUCACCACAUCACUGAGGUUUGGUACUAAAUAGCUGGAGUAUUUUUGGGCAGAGCCAUCUCCACUGGGCUAGUGCGAACCAGAGUGAGACAGCACUCAUGCUGACCGCAUGCAGUUCCCACGUUAGCGGACACAGGAAUGAGCUGGUGCACCAAAACAUCUGGAAGGACAGCAAAUGCGAGUAUUAGGGUUGGUGCAAAAAGAAUUGUGGUUUUGGACCGUGAAUUUGAAAUCAUUCUAACUAGGCUGAAAUGCAUCUUUAUUAAUCAAAGUAGGAACCAUUACAAUCAACACAUCUUUGCCAAUGGAAAAUAAGUUUGUUUAUUCCUGCAGCAUAAAAAUCUGUGCUUUGGGAUUUGGUGGACUCUUGGAAAGCAUUUUCUGUAUCCUGUUGGUUGUAGAAGUGUUUUCCCUGAAAAAACUUGUUGAGAUGCUUGAGGAAGUGGCAGUUGGUUGGUGAGAGUUUGGGUGAAUACGGUGGAUGAGGCAAAACUUCGUAGCCCAAUUUGUUCAACUUUUGAAGUGCUGGUUGUGCGACGUGUGGUCGGGCGUUGUCGAGAAGAAUUGGGCCCUUUCUGUUGACGGUUCUUCACUGUGACAGGACUAGAGAACGAGAGCUUAGAUUAGUGCAUGAGCUCGGUUUGCAGGUGACAAAAUCUGGGGUAAGGUCUGACCACAAAAGGACUAAGACUGCAGAUAAAUCAUAGAAUCAUUUCAGUUGGAAGAGACGCUCAGGUUUACUGAGUCCAACCACAACCCAAUUCUUGCACUAAACCAUGUCACUACAAACCUCCUCUAAACGCCUUUUAAAUCCCUCCAGUGAUGGUGACUCCAGCACUGCCCUGGGCAGCCUGUGCCAGUGCCUGACAACCCUUUCUGUGUGCAACUUGAGGCCAUUUCCUCUUGUCCUAUCACUUGCUACUUGGGAGAAGAGACCAACCCCCUCCAUGCUCCAGCCUCCUUUCAAGUAGUUGUAGGCAGUCGUAGAUGGCAGAGGCUGGUUUGCUCACCAAUUCUUUUCAGGUCUCCCCAAUUCCACAGCAAUUCCUCGCAGUUAGCUGCUUACUAACAGCUCCAAAAAAUGCUCUGAAACUGGUGAGGAUAAGCAGUCUUUGCCAAGCAGGUGCUGCACUUGAGCGUACGACUAAAGCUUGCUUACCGGGGAAGAACGUUUACGCUGAGGUUGAAAGGCAGCACCACUCAGCUGCUGCAAAAUACACUUAAAUCCAGGGUGAAGCAAACGCCACCGGUUCGAGUGUAACUGCUGCCUGGCACCAACUGCUUAGCAACAGCGAGAGUGAUACGGAUACAGAUGAAUUGACUGUUUUCGGAGCAAGCUGGGUAGGAACAGAAGUAAUUAGCUGCUAGCUGAUGAAAAGGCAUGCUUAAUUAUUAGUAUAAUUAUAGAUAUAAUAGACCAGGAAUUAUUCAGUAAAAGUAAGAAAGCCAAUAUGUUACAAAGAAGGUAAUCAGAAUGGAAGAGAAAAUGACAGCAGUGUGAAUUCUUGAGAAGAAACGUAAAAAAUUAAGAUGAUAAAUCUGGAAUCUUUGGAGUUUCCACUCUGACAUACCAACUCAGUUUAACAAUGGCAUAAGGCUAUACAGAGCUAACAAGGUCUGUGACUUGCGUUAUUUCUGGUUUUACGUGAUGUUGAUUUAACUGAUUGCACGCCAGUGAAGUCAAGCUGUAUUUUCAUAAAUCUCACAACCCGCACAACUUCACAAGGGUCUUUAUUCUCCUUCCAGCAGUACCAGAGCACAACCAUUUCAUUGGGUGGAUCCUGCAGGAAGCUGAGGUAUAGCUGGCUCUGAUCAGCAUCGGUAAUUGAUAAUAAUUAUUUGAUAAGGCAGCACAGCUUUCCCUGGGCACCCUGAGUAAACAGUUGUGACUACAAAGCAGUUGUGUCAGUCAGCUGCCCUGCCUGCCUGCUGCAUCUCAAGCUGUUUUCCGUGCGGAGGUGGCUGGAGAUAACACGCUGAACUGCGCUAACAAUGACAUUAGGAAUGUGUUGUUAAUAUAGGAUGUAAAAUCACUGAAAUGGGUUAUCUGGGGAAGAUUUUAAAUACAACUCUCCCAAUGUCAGAAUGAAUGUAGGUAGCGCUGGCCCUGCUUUUGUGUCAGGGACUGGACUGGUUGCUAAUGGCAGCAGCUGUGAUCUGGUGUCUUCUGUAAGAAUCUGGAGCUGAGAGUCCAGGAUAUAUACAAUUUUUUUCUAAACUUGUAGUAGUUUCUAAAAUUAUGGCAGUGGAACGGGAGACUGGCACCAGCAGCUCUAAUCUCGAUUCUUUGAGUCCGAGAGUAGUGGCGCCAAAUGAUUACAAACCCUUUUGCCCAAUGCACUGGUUAGAAAGGGAAAUCAAGAUACAGAGGUUUUAUUGAAUUACUAUUUGAGGACUAAUUAUUAAAAUGGCUUUUGAUUAAUGAGCUGCGAGUCAAGCUGCUUUGGCAAAUAGCAUUUUGAUAAGGUAUUUGUAAGACAGAUAGCCUUAAGAUGGUAAGAUUAACGUAAAAUGCUGUAACCUUAAUGUUGAUGUUAAUGCCGAAAUGAUGUAAAUGUGCAUGAGCAAUUACUAUAUGAAGUCACUGGGGUACACGAGGACAAAUUGAGUACUAACUCUAAUCAGCAUCAACUGAGCGCAGAAUCAUUGAAAAGUGAAGCUGGAAGAAAUCUCAGCUGAGCACUUAGUCCAUCUCCUCCCACAACAGAAACAGAUCUGUUUACGACAUUCUUGGCAGAUGCAGAACUGUUAUUUCUCUUCCAUUUUGUAGCAGCGUUUUGUCUGCAGCAGGACUGUUACUGCACCGAUCCUGACUCAUUGCAUCUGUCUGUGGUCUUCUCUUUUUUGAGCACCUCCUGUUCUCAGUCUCUUGCUUCAGGUCAUGUUUUCCAGCCCUCUAACCACUAUUGUUAUUCUUGCUGCUCAGUCCGUCAGCCUUUCCUGAGGAGCAGCACCCAGGACUGGACAUGCCUCUGAACUCAGGCGUUACUAAUAUGAGUACAGCGAAAGGACCUGCAAGAUGUCUUGCAGUGAGCCCUUGGAAACGACUCUCAGAGUGUGCAUUCCAACCAGAUUUCUGUCAGGACUUCAGCUAGGGCAUCCUCGUGCUCACAAAUGUCACAUGGGACAAUGUCAGGAGCCUCAGUGACAUUGAGGGGCUUGUUCACAGGACAGAAUGACCUUUGCACAGCUCAACAAGAAGCGCGUGUGCGAUCCCCUUCUGUUUCCUGGUCCUUUAAGCUUGGAUUGCCUUGGUGAUGAGGUGGAGACAUACGUGAAUAUAUUGAGGACAGGGUGCAAGGCGAUGCAGCACAGAUUUUGUAACACAGAGGAGGGAUGGAAGAUGGUAAAUGCGACAACAAUCCCUGAGAAGGUCCCCAGGAGCGAAGCGGAGAACUGUGGACUGUCACACUGGAGUCUGUGCGGAGCCAAUUAGAAGCUCUGGCCCCGAACUGCUCUGGGUAUGUGCUGUGAGAGCCAUGUGGGCAAUGAAGAGAGUAGCUGAAGCAAUUACUGAAGCAUUAGCGACUACCCUGGAAGCUCUGGGAAGGCAGUGAAGCCUCAUUACAUUAAAUGGGAGAUCAAACAGAGUGUAUUACAACUUCCAAUAUGCACCAGCUUGUUUCGUGCAGUGCUUUUUUUGAGGGGGUUGAAAACAUUGGUGUCCCGAGUCUCUCAUCGUGUCAGUCCGCGUGUGUUCAGCUGAGACGUGCCAGCGUUCGGCUGCGUGUUCCACAGAGGCCUCGUCCGAGGAGCCGCUGCGUACCGGCAGAUCCCAGCGGCAAACCAGAUGUAAGAUACCAGGCCACAGAAGAGGAUGAGGACCCAUAAUGCUGUCUCCAUCAGCAGCAGUAUGUGGGGAGGAGCCCCAUCCAGCUCCCUCCAACUCCAGAGGGAUCCUGACACCGGCUCAGCCAGGCUGGAGUCUCCUCACACCGCUGUGCUGUCCCUGGAUGGAGGAUGUGGGCAGCAGGACGGAGCCAGUGGUGCGGUGGUUGAGGUGGAGGACGGCAGCUGAGGGCUGGAGGCAGCAGCUGCAUCCUCGAGCUCGGUGUGUUGCCGUGAUUGUGCCAGGGCUGCAGGGGGAAGAGCCAGCCUGGCUGAAUUCUGCCGUGGUGCAAGAGCCACAGCAGAGACUAUACUAUUUUGCCACAGUGAAGCAUCAGAAGUCGCUGGUGAGGAGCACAGCCCUGAUGAUAUGGAGAGCAAGGGAUGAUGUGGGCACAGGAGAUGUCAGAGAAAUGCCCCGAAGUGGUGAGUGAUCAAAGCUAAACCCCAAGGAGGCUUUGGGGGCUCAGGGUCUAGCACAGGACAGACAUGGACCUGCUGGAGAGGGGCCAGAGGAGCCCCAGAAAUGAUCCAAGGCUGGAACAGCUCUGCUGGGAGGACAGGCUGAGAGAGCUGGGGUGUUCAGCUGAAGAAGCUCUGGGAAGACGUCGUUGCUCCUUUGUGUACUUAAAAGGGGCCAAUAAAAAAGGUGAGGACAGACUUUUCACCAGGGCCUGUUGUGAUAGGACAAGGGGUGAUGGUUUUAAACUAAAUGAGGGAGAUUCAGGCUGGACACGAGGAAGAAAUUGUUGCCCCUGAGGGUGGUGAGAGCCUGGCCCAGGUUGGCCAGAGAGGUGGUGGAUGAACCAUCCCUGGAGACAUCCCAGGCCAGGCUGGACGGGGCUCUGAGCAACCUGAGCUGGUGAAGAUGUCCCUGCCAUGGCAGCAGUGGCACUGGGGGAGCUGGGAAGGUCCCUUCAACCCAAAUCAUUCUGUGAUUCAAUGACUGAGGUGGUGAUGGAGGGGCUGUUUUCAGGGCUCACAGUGAAAGCACAGAGUGCUGUGCUGCAGAGGCAAGAGCUGGACCAUGCUCUCUCCAUGGGAAAGGCUGGUGGGGGUCAAACAAGCAGGAGCACAGUUAAAUCUGAGCUGAAGAGUUUGUUUCUGAGCCACUGUUUGAGAAGAACACCCAGAGGACCUGGUGCCCUCUUCCCAGGGCUGCAGGAGGGCUGCCCUCCAGGGCAGUCGGCUGCUGAGCUGAGGCUGUUUGGAGUGGGUGGUAGUUGGCUUCUGGACUGAGGUCAUCUCUGUGGUGCUGGGGUUGCCUGUGGACAUGUCUCGUCAGGCUGGCUGGGACUAAAGGUAGCAGCUGGCUCAACCUUCCGUUGUCAGGUGCUCUUUGGUGCAGAUAAAAGCUUUUUCUGAUCAUUCUAGUUCCUGAGGCUGGCAAGGGGUUUGUAAAUGGCGAAGGCUGUCACUGCGGGUCAGCCCUUUGGGAAGUCUUUCUCAUCCAUCUACCCCAGGAGUGGGCUGGCAAACCAUCUUCCUUUCCUAACUGUGCUGGCAAGAACAAGUGUCUCUGUGUUUGAACUACAACCCGCUCGAGGUGACAGUUGUGUUCCUGUGGCUGCCCUGUGCUUUUGGACAAGCUUUGGGAGAGGUUUUGUCUUGCCCAGCUCUGGCUGAAGCUCUGUCUCCUGCCAUGUGUGGAGAAAUGAAGCCCUGGGCUUGGCUGGGGGCUGCUGGAGCAAAGGAACACGAAUCCAGUGAGCACAUCUGCACACCUGCCCCUGGUUUGGUGAAAACAGGGGGUUGAGUCCUAUUGUUUGUAGAAGAAAACUGACUGGAGUUUCUAAGUGCUCAUUGCUAAGAAUAACUGCUAUUUCACCUCUUGCCUGCCCUCCACCAGCUGCUUGGGGGCACCAUUUUAGACUUCAGCUUAAGCUGCAAGGAGUAAGUGACCUUGUUUACCAGAGACCAUGAGCAGGAACUAGAUUUUGCCUUCAUUUACCCCUGGAGGAGCUGCCAGAGGAGCAAAGGGCCUGUGUUGGCAGGUUUCCUGCAGCCUUUGCUGGGGAGCUGCACCAUGGGAAGCACUGAGCAGGAAUCAAGCAUGCUGGCAUCACGCUGGGUUAGUUUUCCUCUUGGAAGUAAGAAGUGGAGCAAGCCACAGCUGAGACAAGGUGACUUUGGGUUUGUUCAAUGCACUGUUUACUUAGUGCCUGGUUACAGAUCUCUGGUGCAGACCUUGCCCUGCUCCUUGUCCUCAGCUUGUCCCAUGGUUCCUGCAUCAGAAGGAGCUUGUUGCUGUGCUGGUGGAGCUCAAAGGGGGCAGCCAACAGCCGUGGCUGUCUUGCUGCAGCAGCUCUUAUUUCCUUGCAGCAGGCAAGUACCAGAAGGGGCCGUUUCUCUGCUUUCACAGGUGCUCCCUUCAGUCUAGCUUGCUCUUUACUCUGUUUCAGCAAGGGCCCAGCAAACUCAGCUCCAGCUGCUGAAGUCCUUGUUCCAAUAUGCUUCAUAAAUAUUGCCAUUAAACAGAGGGUAGAAAGUAUUUAUUCAGGGGGAGGGUAGUAGGGCACCUGGAAAGACAGACAAGGGCACCGCAACUUAUCUGGAAGUUGAACAGUGAUUGCCACUCGGGGUUUCUGCCUCCACACAACCCUCUGUCUGCAGCCAUCACUGGUCUUAAGAGCCCUGGGUGCUGGAGCAGAGCAUGUUAACAGACCAAACCUGUUUCCCAAAAGGGAAUCCCUGUGCAAUUUUGGGCGUUGUUUGCAGUUGGUACAGAAACAAGCUAAUUGCAGUGUGACUGAUGGGCAGGACGUUGCUCUGCUUGGGGAGCUGGCACCAGGGCAGAACCAGCACGGCCAUGUUCCUCCAGGAUGCUGCUACCAACUAAUGCAGCUGAGGUCAAAACUUGACUCUUCUUCCUACCUAAUAUGUCUGUUCAGUCUGAAUCACCACUUUGCUGUUGGGAAGAGCUCCAAGAUAAAACUGCAGAAACUUACUUGUGUCUCCUACUGCUUAAAUCUCCCCAAAAGGGGCAGUUGCUGCUCUACCCACCUCCUCAGGGACAUCCUGGCAGGCCCACAGCAGCUUCUUCCACAGGUGGGGGCACUGGAGAUGGGGCUGCUCAUCCUGUCCCUGGGGAGAAGGUGAGGCUGUGUGCAUGGCCAGGCUGUCUGGAUGGAUUUCUGCUGUUGCUUGUCCAGUGCAUGAUGUGCUGUAGAGACAAGAAAACAGCUUUAUUGCCCUGAUCCUGCCUCUCUUCCUUGGGCACACAGCCCUGCACCCAGCCCCUGCUCCAGACGGCUCUCAGGACUGAAGCAAGGUGGCUCUCUCCUCUGCCCCUUGCCCUGGCUCUGCUGGGAACAGGAGACUUGAGGGACACCAGCUUCUUCUGAGCAGCUCUUCCCUGCUUAUAACCACAGGGAAACCAAAACAAUACAAAUAACCUGGCUUUGGCUGUAAAAAAGCAAGUAAAACAAAGAAGUGAAAAGCUGCGAUGGAGAUUUGGAGGAGCUUUUUCCUCCUUUGCUUUUGCACACAAACAGGGGCUGCCUUGGGCUCCGGUCCUGCAAGGAGCCUGCCCUGGCUGGGGGAGGCAGCCCCAGAAAGCAGCACAAGGCAUCAGUUUUAGGGAGUUUUAUGUGUUCUUUGCUUGCCACUUUCUCCAACCUCCAGUGCUGGCCUCUACAGUGAAACAAGUCUGCACCAGGUGGGAUGAAGGCUCCAGGGGGUCACAGCAGAGAGGGCCACAUCUACGGGAGGUACCCAGAGCCACCAGCCUCGCACCACUGACAUCUGAGGUGGUUUUUCACAUGACUUUUAACUGCACAAUUCACUUUGCUAACACCACCUUUGCCACAGAGUGAAACCCUUCACAGCAGAGCAGCCUCCUGCGCUGUCCCUCGGGUGAGUCCUGGUUCCCCCCACCUGGAGCAGAUCCAGCUCUCAUCCUGCCCUUCUGCUUCACACCAACUCAUUGGCAACUGGCUUAAAAAAGAUGUGUCCGCUGUCCCAGCCCUGUGCAGGUGGCUGUGAGACUGUGGGUCCUGCCCCUGCCUAACUGCUGUGUGAUGGGACUGAUAGUUCUGAUGGCCCACAGAGCACAUGGAGGUCUCCUGGGGGCACUUAAUCCAACAGAUUUCCAGGGGCAGGGGCACCAAAAAGCAUAUUGAAAGCUCUAGGACACCCCAAAAGGCACACCAAGGCCCUUGAGGGCACUGGCCAAGAAACAGAGGGGCUCCAGGGGUACCCAAAACCACCCUGAGUGGCACUGGUGGAGCAGAAGGACAAAGAGCAGUGCUGGUUUCCCUCUUGCAUCUCCAGCAAGCUGGGGAACUGCAAAAGCAAACCAAGAGGCUGAGGGAGCCAGAGUGGAGAGAGAGGGAUUCAAGGCACUGAAAAGCAGAUGGAUUUGGGGAGCCCUGGUGGCACCAAAAACCAUAUGCAGGAAUGUGGGGGGGCACAAUAAAAGAACAGAAGCCUCUGGGGGCACCAGAGGGGCAGCCAAACCAAAUUCAUAGCAUGUGCAAGAGCCCUGUUUCUUUUUUUCAGCAGAAGGCGUCCUAUAUCUGUCCUUUUGCCUCCGUGCGCUGGCAUCCAGGUUUCAGAUGAAUUUUACGGUACGUGAGCAUCUCAGGAGAAUUUCCUUCUUGUUCACGCUACGGAAGAGAAACCCUCGUGUUUCUACUCGGAUCUUACAAUGGCUUGUCAGUGACAAAACAUUCCCAAAUCCUCUCAUUUAUCAAAUGGCCAAUCCUGUUAACAGCUUAAGAAACAUAAUUACCUGCAAUCUCUUCUGCUAUUCAUUUUAUGCCUACACUUCCCUCUCUCUGGCAGCUUACCAGCAGGCAAGGCGAGAGCUGAAACACGGCUGCAGCUGCGGAGUUCAGCAAUGCAAUUUCCUCUCGUCACCUGCACGAGGUUCACAGGAGUUUUGCCUCCCGGUUUGGAGCAGCGAGAACAGCUGAGACGUCUCCGGCUUCAAGCGCAGCUGCAGGAGCCCUCCCUGCUCACGGCUGAUCAAAGGCGAACCCGCUGCCGCCCGCCAGCCGCUGCUCGUCCCCAGCACCCGCCCAGCAGAAGAAUCGGAUCCCGAACCUCCCGAGUGCGUCUUCCCCGGGGGCGACACCGUCUGCGAAGAAUCCGUGCCGCUGUCAUAACCCUGCUGUGAAAAGGCUUGAGCGAGUUUAGCAAACAAAAAUACUUCGCUUUGGUUUAAAUCGUGCUGAAACAAAACAUCAGCCAGCGCUGGCUGCUCAAUUAAACAGUUUGUCAUGCAGCCUUUGGGGAAGAAAUGCUGAAAACCAAAAAAAAAAGGAUUUCAGGGAAUGUGUGGAGAAAAUGCUUGUGAUUCCCGUGCGCUGCCGUUCCCUGGCACGCAACAUGCGCGUUGUGUUGCCCUUGGAUUUGGAGGACGGCUCGUGGCUGCGUGUGACUGUGCUGUGACAGGGACCAGGCUGUACGUGGGGCUGCAGGGGGGGUACAUUUUAGUUAAGUGCACGUGUAGUCCCGAUGUGGGAGGAAGGAGCUGUUGUUCCCCUCCUGGAGGCCUGAGCACAACUUUUUGUAGAAUCAUAGAAUCAUUUUGGUUGGAAGAGACCCUUAAGAUCAUCGAGUCCAGCCAUAACCUAAAUCUAGCACUAAACCAUAUCCCUAAGAACCUCAUCUACGUGUCUGUUUUAGGAGAUGCUGCUUUCCUCUUCCUCAAUGUGGGCAUUUAACCCCAAAAUAUGCAUUGCUACCCUGCCACCCCUUUAUUCCCUUGCUCCUUGCAGUUACGUGCCACACUGAUUUGGCUGGGGCUGAGAUCUGCAAUGACACUGUGGUGGCAGCUCUCGCAGGGGCACCCAGGACAAGUUUUGGGACUCGGAGCAUCCUGACUCUGGCUGUGUGAGCCCACGGCUCUGUUCAGUGCGAUGCUUGGGUAUUUCUUGUGGUGUCUCUGCCCUUGAUAACACCCCGACCCAUGGGGUGGGUGUAGGGCUGAGCCUGCAGAAGCCCACGUCGUGGCUGUGGGUUUUCCACAUCAGGACACGUGUGUUGUAGGAGAGGACAGGGUGACUUGCUGUCUCACCACCCAGCCACCAAACAGCCUUUGGGGUAAGCACUAGCCUGUUUUGCAUCUCCAUCGUUCUUGCUGAGCAGCUUUGACGGCUCUCGGUGCGUGCGGAUGAGGCCCCAUCCAGCAUGCGGGGAGGGUACAAGCAACUGGCAGUCAGGGCUUAUGUUUGCCACUGAUAAAUGUAUUAGUCUUUAAAGCGGAAUUUAAACUACAACCCUUUUUCAGGCACCUCAGCACUCCGUUAUUUUGCAGGCCUUGUAAGGGAAUGUGAUUUUGCCUUUUAACUGGAGUGUAUCUUAUGCUAAGCAGUGAGAUUAAGCGUAGGGAUCCAAAAGAAGUUGCUGAAUGGCAGAAUUGCCUUUAUAAAUAACAUUAAUAAUUUAUCCAAUCCAGGGGUUUUUUGGGUAAAUGAAAUACCUGCCUCUGUAUAAAGCCCACUGAAUAGGAACACAUCUCCGCUUUUAUGAGGCUUGGAUUAAAGAAGGGAAACGCUAAGGGGCUUAUCUUCACUUCAAUUUGCAGCCCUUCCGGCUAAUGGCAAACUCAUUUAAGAAGCUCCUGUGUUUGUGCCAACUCUGCCUUUAUUCUCGGUGCUGGAGCUUGGCUGCAUUUCUCGCCGCAGUGCUGGGGAGAGCGGAGGGGAAGCAGUUUGUUUUCUUGACCUCAGAUUACCAGACAAAAGCCAGCGAGAAGAAUUUUCCUCGGAGUCCUCCCUAUUACGGGUUGCUGAAAGCGUCUGCAGGGCGGCUGCCGAGAAGCUGGUGGUCCGGGGACCCCACGUGUGGAGCAGGACGGGGAUGAGUGGAAAGAGUAUCUGUCAUCCUUCUGGGACACCUGCAUCCUGCGCGGACACUCGUGAAAUGGCAAAACUCAUCCUCCGCGAAGCCCACGAGCUGUCACUUCUCAGCUCUUCUUUUAUGCCGGUAAAAAUCAAUUGCUUCAAAGUUCACUGGAGGUGAAGACAACAUUUGCUUUCCAUUCAGAGCUAAGCGGGCCAUCUUCGAGAGCAAAUGCUCUCAAAAGGGAGAAUAGCAAAAAUCAGCAGAAAAAAAUGUCUGAAUAAUUUGGACUGGGAAAGGAAAAAGCAAUUUGCUCCCAGUUAUUCCACAGACAAAAGUAUGAAUAAAAAAAUCAUGAGCUAUUUACCCUGCCUGGACUGUUUGCAUGAGUUUUAUGCUAUUCCAGUUCUGCUUCACCAACCCCCAAAGACCUUAUCGCUGGAUCCUCAAGGCUCUUAAAGACAACAUGGUGUUUUUUUGGGUUGGUUUUUUAACAUGCUGGGUCAGCAGGGACCAAAAGCAGAGAAAACAAAAAGGGUCCUGAAUCCAAACCACGCUGUUGCUUGUAUGUGCGUUGACCCGGAUCAGAGACCCAAGACUCUGGCCGGCCAAAUCUACCAGCACAGAAAUUGUGUCCAACAGAGAAUUGCAAGCUGGGGUGCUUUGCAUUCAGAUAGCGAGGCUGUGGCAAAGGCACGGUGCGUAUUUACAAUCUGCUUUAGAAAAACCUGAUACGUGUCGUUAGCGGUUCUGCCGUAAAGACAGUUUAUGUCACCCACAUCUGCUGCUUUCGGUGGCCCAGCCAGGCGGCUGGCACUGCUCAACAUGCCGGGGACUGCGCUGCUGCCGUGGGGAGAGGGAAAAGAAGGGAAGAUGGAGACCUUGUAAGCUUUAUCAGAAAACACCAACAAGUCAGGAGAUUUGGGGAUUACGCUGUGUAAUUACGUUACCUUCAGAAAAAAAGUUUACUGAAAAUUUCCUGUUUUGUGUUGCCAGCGCUUUUCAGCCAUUAGUAACACAUCACUCCUCAUUGUCUUUUCCCGAGGCACAGAUGGGCUAAUUUUCAGCUACCUGAUAAUUACACAUUGUUUGAAACUGUAUCAAAAGCUUCUGUUCCCGCAUUCCUCCAGCAGCCGUUCUGACAGCUCAGAGUCCCUUGGCUGGGGCUCUCAAGGGUCCCCAUCUGUCAGUCUGUCAGUCCGUCUGUCCAUCCGGAGGGCUGGGAGCACAGCAGCAAAGCCUCCGUGCUCACACCCAGGCUUCAUAAGCUGCUGGUGCAGAUUUACACCAUUUCCAAACCAGGUGAAGUGGCCGAAGCUCCACCGAAAGCAUCUCCUCGGAUGGAUGCAGGUGUCCAAGGUUAAUAUGGGAUAAUGCUGCAUCAAAAUGUUUCUACUUAAAUAUGCAUGGGGAUGUGAGGGAGAAAUUAAGGAUAAACCAGGAUGAGAUGCUAGAAAUUGGCAUAACGAAGGCUUAGCCUCAAAUUUCCUUGGGCAAAGCUGUGGACUGCCACGUUGGCGGAAGGCAACCCAUAGGCUGUAUGGAGGGGACGGGUGACAGCCCCUCCGGAGACAUCGAGGACACUGGAGGAACCUUCUCCUCCUUUGGACCCUCCUCGGUGGGAGCGGUUCCCCUGCCGUUUGAGCUCUGGUUGUUUUUAGAGGGUGUUUUCUUGGCUGCUUCAAGACUGUCUGGUGGGAAAAUGCAAAAGGCUUCAUUUGUGUUUUCUCCUUCCCCAUCAUCAAGUACGUCUGUUGCGUUAUCAAAGAAGGAAAUUAAAUUGGGUUGACGUGACUGGUUCUUGACAAACUCAUGUUCUUUGAUUUUGUUCAUCAUUUUACAUCUUACAAGCUGCUUUCUUCCAGCCUCUCUCAGAGGAUUGAGAUUAAGAUGAUUAUUCAAUUUUUUAACAUUUUUUUUUUAGGUAUCCUCUUUAAUGAGAGGUGCUUCUCUCAUCUCCAGGGACCUCUACACCUCUAUGAAUUUUGAAGAUAUAGCCACCAAGGGUUCAGUGUUCUUGGGUGCAUUUAGUCAGAUCUUCUCUUUUUGAAUACACUUGACAUAUCCAAAUGGCUUUAAACUUCUUUCCUUAUGCUGGCCUUCUCCACAGUUUCCUUCAAAGCCUGUUUCGUCAGGUUUCAUUCAUAAUUAACCUUUUUAUAAAGACUGAAACAAGGGAGACGGGGCAAAUUCCUGCUUUGAACACUCAGUCCGUUCUCCUUCCCCAGACAUGUACGCCUCUACGCAUCUUGCUGUUCUCAUUUUGCAUCUAAUUUAU